GAUGAACGCUGGCGGCGUGCCUAAUACAUGCAAGUCGAGCGAACGGACGAGAAGCUUGCUUCUCUGAUGUUAGCGGCGGACGGGUGAGUAACACGUGGAUAACCUACCUAUAAGACUGGGAUAACUUCGGGAAACCGGAGCUAAUACCGGAUAAUAUUUUGAACCGCAUGGUUCAAAAGUGAAAGACGGUCUUGCUGUCACUUAUAGAUGGAUCCGCGCUGCAUUAGCUAGUUGGUAAGGUAACGGCUUACCAAGGCAACGAUGCAUAGCCGACCUGAGAGGGUGAUCGGCCACACUGGAACUGAGACACGGUCCAGACUCCUACGGGAGGCAGCGGUAGGGAAUCUUCCGCAAUGGGCGAAAGCCUGACGGAGCAACGCCGCGUGAGUGAUGAAGGUCUUCGGAUCGUAAAACUCUGUUAUUAGGGAAGAACAUAUGUGUAAGUAACUGUGCACAUCUUGACGGUACCUAAUCAGAAAGCCACGGCUAACUACGU
rnacentral:rRNA from 1 species